rnacentral:misc_RNA from 1 species
GAUGAAGAACGUAGCGAAAUGCGAAAAGUAAUGUGAAUUGCAGAAUUCAGUGAAUCAUCGAAUCUUUGAACGCACAUUGCGCCCGCUGGUACUCCGGCGGGCACGCCUGUCCGAGCGUCAUUUCAACCCUCAAGCCCUCCUUCGGGAUGGGCCUGGUGUUGGGGCUCGGCCGCCAUCUCCGGCGGCCGUCCCCUAAAUACAGUGGCGGUCACGUCGCGACUCCUUUGCGUAGUAGAAACACCUCGCUCCGGAUAGCAACGCGGUCCACGCCGUAAAACCACCAAUUUUCAAUGGUUGACCUCGGAUCAGGUGGGAAUACCCGCUGAACUUAAGCAUAUCAAUAAGCGGAGGA